UGGCGGAGGCUCCGAAGGGAACCCAGACUUUCCCAUGGCCUCGCUGUACGUGGGCGACCUGCACCCUGAGGUGACCGAGGCAAUGCUGUAUGAGAAGUUCAGCCCAGCUGGGCCCAUUCUCUCCAUCCGCAUUUGCAGGGACAAGAUCACUCGCCGCUCGUUGGGCUACGCAUAUGUCAACUACCAGCAACCGGUGGACGCCAAACGGGCCCUGGAGACCUUGAACUUUGAUGUCAUAAAGGGUAGACCAGUGCGCAUCAUGUGGUCCCAGAGGGACCCGUCGCUUCGCAAGAGCGGGGUGGGCAACGUCUUCAUCAAGAACCUGGGCAAGACCAUCGACAACAAGGCGUUGUACAACAUCUUCUCGGCGUUUGGCAACAUCCUUUCCUGCAAAGUGGCCUGCGACGAGAAGGGGCCCAAGGGCUACGGGUUCGUCCACUUCCAGAAGCAGGAGUCUGCGGAACGGGCCAUUGAUGCGAUGAAUGGCAUGUUCCUGAACUACCGCAAAAUUUUCGUCGGGAGAUUCAAGUCGCAUAAAGAACGAGAGGCCGAAAGGGGAGCCUGGGCCAGGCAGUCCACCAGUGCUGACGUCAAGGAUUUCGAGGACGACACCGACGAAGAGGCCACCUUGCGAUGAAGAUAUCCCAGGAGUGAGCCAGCCAGCAGAGCCAAACCUUGGCUCCCACCCGGUUUACAACCCCCGCAUCCCCCCAACCCACCAGCAGUGUAUUGUAUUGGGAGUGCAGGCUUAUGAAACGUCAUCUUCAGUGCCUGCAGAGUGCUCCAGUGGCCCUUAACAUUUCUGUAAUCAUUCCUGCAUCGUUGGACAUUCAGGUGGUGCCUAGUUCUUUCCUCGAGUUUAAAACCAACGCUGCGUGCUCUGAUGAGUGAAUCUGUCCUUGUCAAGCCAAAUCCUUGCUAGCAUCCCGGAUGGUCUCCUUAACUGUGGACUUGCAGGAUCCACAUGUAGACAUUUUACAGACUUUUCCUGUGUGUUGCCAAAUGGCCCCCUUCACAAGCGAUGUACUGAUUUGCACUUGCACCGGCCAGCGCAGCUAGUAAAAAGUGUAUGCCCAUUUCCCCUGCAUAGUCUCUUGGUC